rnacentral:rRNA from 1 species
GACGAACGCUGGCGGCGUGCCUAAUACAUGCAAGUAGAACGCUGAAGGAGGAGCUUGCUUCUCUGGAUGAGUUGCGCACGGGUGAGUAACGCGUAGGUAACCUGCCUGGUAGCGGGGGAUAACUCUUGGAAACGAUAGCUAGAACCGCAUAAUAGUAGAUGUUGCAUGACAUUUGCCUAAAAGGUGCAAUUGCAUCACUACCAGAUGGACCUGCGUUGUAUUAGCUAGUUGGUGGGGUAACGGCUCACCAAGGCGACGAUACAUAGCCGACCUGGGAGGGGGGUCGGGCACACUGGGACCGGGACACGGCCCAAACUCCUACGGGAGGCAGCAGGAGGGGAUCUUCGGGAAUGGACGGAAGUCCGACCGAGCAACGCCGCGUGAGGGAAGAAAGUUCUCGGAUCGUAAAGCUCUUUUGUAAGAGAAGAAAGAGAGGGGGAGUGGAAAGUGCACACUGUGACGGUAUCUUACCAGAAAGCGACGGCUAACUACGUG